GAAAAGACAAGUGAUUCUUGGCCUGCAGGUACAGAUGUGGAAGCUGAGGCACAGGGAGAUUAAGUAACUCAUGCAAGAUCACAAAGCUGGACCAAGGUACAAAAGACCUGGAAGCAGAGAAAUUAUCACAAAGAAUAUUACAAAAGUAGGUAUGAUUUUUCUGCCCUAACAAUUUGACAGGGCACAUAUACACAGCAAGCAUUCGUGGCUGCUCUAUGAAGCCUUUCCUAGAGAAACAGCAGAACUCAUGUAUGUGAGAUUUACAUGAAAAAUAAUUACCUGUUGGCAUUUCAGCAAAGAAGAAAUUUCUCAUCAAUCAUUACCCGUAGCAUUCAUGUAUAUUCUUAAAUAUAAAGAAGAUGAUUAGAAGGAGCACAUGUAUGUGAAUAAGGAGCUAGAAUAGACUUGUUUCUGAAAUGAAAAUCCUAGUAUGAUUUGAAACAUAUUCCUCUUGUCUCCUUGUGCAUAACUCACGUUUCUCAGAAGCAUAGAAUAUUUUCAGUCCUCAAAAUUGAAACAGUAAUUGAUUUGUGAACCACUUUAAUUUAAUGAACAUAUAAUUUGUUUGAAUUAAAGAAAUACAAAAUAAAAUUCAGAGUACUGAAUUUCUCAAAUAUUUCCAAUUCUUUCCUUUCUUCCAUGAUUAUUAUGAACACUAAUUACUAAGUUUUACAUAAAAAAGGUUAAAGGCA